rnacentral:rRNA from 1 species
UACGGAGGGUGCAAGCGUUAUCCGGAUUCACUGGGUUUAAAGGGUGCGUAGGUGGGCAGGUAAGUCAGUGGUGAAAUCCCCGAGCUUAACUCGGGAACUGCCGUUGAUACUAUCUGCCUUGAAUAUCGCGGAGGUAAGCGGAAUAUGUCAUGUAGCGGUGAAAUGCUUAGAUAUGACAUAGAACACCGAUUGCGAAGGCAGCUUACUACACGAUCAUUGACACUGAGGCACGAAAGCGUGGGGAGCAAACAGG